CCUCUGAAUCAGCUGUUAAGAAAAUGGGACAGUUAUAUUGCUUCAAUUGGUCUCCUACUUCAUUUGAUUCCACCAUCAUUACAAGGCUGCAAGGGAUCUGGAAAAAUGUCAUCCUGUCAAGCUGAAAAACAUCUUCAAAAAGGCACUAACAAGAACAGCUUGAUUGUAGA